rnacentral:lncRNA from 1 species
CUUUUCAAAGCGCGGUUCCCAAGUUUGUUGUCAACUUGCCAAUUACGUUUCCAAAUUCGGAAGUUGGGCGGGAACUUCGCAACGAAGUUCGCAAGUUAAUUUCAAAGUUCGAACUUCGAUUGUAAACAAAUGUAAAAAUUUCAUUUAUAAAUUUAUUUAAAAAGGCAUUUUUCGUCUUGGGAGACCACUGGACCAACAUUUUACUGCAGUAAUAUGUGCAUAGGGCCUUAUACAGUAAUUUCAACUCCAACUAUGAACAUUUGUUUACAAUCGAAGUUCGAACUUUGAAAUGAACUUGCGAACUUCGUCGCGAAGUUCACGCCCAACUUCCGAACUUGACAACGUAAUUGGCAAGUUCGCAACAAACUUGGGAACAGCGUGUUGAAAAGUUACCUGAAAUCGUCAAUAAAAAUGUUAAAAAAUGUUAAAAACAUUGAAAUCACUGAUCUUGAAUUAUGCUUCAUUGAUUUUCCUAGUUAGUUUUUUCAAUUAAAACGGGUUGUAAUGCGCCUUAAAAACCGUCAUUCAAAAGGCUGGACUGUGCCUUUAAACUAUGUACGCGUGCGUCUGUGUGGACUUGCCAGUGGGCAUGUCAAAUAUACACAGUGAGCUCCAUAUAUAACUGUAGUGAGAACUCGAGUCUAAAAAGUGAAGCCAAAAUGGCGGAAAUUGAAGAGCUAUUGGUCGUCAGUUCCAAUCCA